UGGGGAAUAUUGCACAAUGGGCGCAAGCCUGAUGCAGCCAUGCCGCGUGUGUGAAGAAGGCCUUCGGGUUGUAAAGCACUUUCAGCGAGGAGGAAGGUGGUGAGCUUAAUACGCUCAUCAAUUGACGUUACUCGCAGAAGAAGCACCGGCUAACUCCGUGCCAGCAGCCGCGGUAAUACGGAGGGUGCAAGCGUUAAUCGGAAUUACUGGGCGUAAAGCGCACGCAGGCGGUUUGUUAAGUCAGAUGUGAAAUCCCCGGGCUCAACCUGGGAACUGCAUUUGAAACUGGCAAGCUAGAGUCUCGUAGAGGGGGGUAGAAUUCCAGGUGUAGCGGUGAAAUGCGUAGAGAUCUGGAGGAAUACCGGUGGCGAAGGCGGCCCCCUGGACGAAGACUGACGCUCAGGUGCGAAAGCGUGGGGCAGCAAACAGGAUUAGAUACCCCUGGUAGUCCACGCUGUAAACGAUGUCGAUUUUGGAGGUUGUGCCCUUGAGGCGUGGCUUCCGGAGCUAACGCGUUAAAUCGACCGCCUGGGGAGUACGGCC
rnacentral:rRNA from 1 species